UGAGAAAAAUAUCUGAAGCUCUUAGAAUAAGAAGCCUUACAAUUUCUCCGACGGGUGAAACAUACCAAACUUCCGAUCAAGUGUUAUAUAGAGACCAAACUUUUCUCAAGUACCUAAUACAAUCUCUCCGAUGGGUAUGUUCAUUAAAUUAGGCUCUCAAGUACCUAGUUUGGUCUAUCUAUGUUUAUGGAUGGUCUAUCUAAUUUAACCCAUCCACGUAUCUAGUCGGUGUUAGAUAGACCAAAGUUUUCCAUUGCGCUUGGACCAGUUCUCUUGUUCUUUAAAUACCUCCUCUCGCUCAAGUCAUCAAACUCAGAAGCAAAGAGCCUAUUAUUCCUAUUAUCAGAAACAAUGUUCUCCUCGGAUAUAAUCCACAAGCCAAUGAGCUUCAUAGAAAACGACAAGGAAAAACAGAAGGAGGCCGGUGAAAUUGCUUCUUCAUCAUCGGCGGUGGCGGCCAAUAGUGAACAUGGAGAGAAGCAGCAGCAGCAGUAUGAUGCCAUUGGCAAGGUUUGCGCCGGAGAUCGAUGGGGUUCACUGUUUCGAAACCAUUGUUCUUCAGUGAUGAUCAGAUUCAACUCUCUCUCUCUCUCACCAUCUGUAUAUACUUGUAAUCAAAUUGUUUGUUCUUGUCAUGCUUGUGGAAUAAAGAAAAGCUUAAUGCAAAAUAAUAUACUUGGCUUGUGUUCAUCAUGUUUUAGAUUGCAUAUAGCAAGCUCGAUCAUAUUGGAGAAAUUGUAUAUAAAAAACUAAAUCCGAUCCUUAGCAGCAUUGUUCCACUCGAUCCAGUCCCAUCCGUCGCCGGAACCCUCGAUUUCAGAUACUUGCGAUAAUUUUCCCACCUCUUGUACUCAACGAAUCGAACGACCUAGUUUUGGGAUGGUGCUACGAAGAUUGGCGCCGAGCCUUCAUUGAUUUGGCGGGAAAGUCCGCAUCGGAGAAAAACAAGUGCGAGUCUUUCCGGUGGACUUUUGAAUAUUUCAAUAGCCCAAUAAGGCCCAUUAAGGCUCUUUCCUCAACUCUAAAGCCCAUUUUCUGGAACGCUCCACUUAACUAUCAGCCCAUUAAGGUUCUUUUCUCAGGCUUAAUUAGUAGACUAUAGAGUAGGCACAGUCUAACUUUUCCAAGGUGAAACGCACCGUUCCAAGGUCUCGCUCGGCCCAAUGAGGCUCUUUUCUCAAGCCCAAUUUUCGGACUAUAGACAAGGCCCAGACCAACACUGUUAAAGUGAAACGCACCGUUUUAACGGCUGUACGUAUAAUAGCUUUGUAGUUUGUACAAUGGCGCAAACCAGAACCCAAACCUUACUCUUUGCAAUUCCUAAAAUACCCUUACCAGCAUGAAAGCUCCCGUUCAUUUCCCGCCAAAGUACAAAGAAGCUUUCUCAUACCCUUACCAGUGUAGGCUGUGUAGCAUUGUUUCUUAACUAGUGAUUGCAAAGAAACAAUUCUAGACAAUCGUCGUCGGCAAAAGUUAUUCUUCAAUAUAUAUUAAUUUGCCACAAAAAAUCGUCACAUUGCAAUCCUGGUUAUCUUUCAUACUGGCUUUUGGUUGCUGCUUUUCUCUGUUCGCCUUUUAUUGGUGAUUGGUGCCAUUCUUUACUUGUCUUCACCACCAAGGCAUCUCUCAUUCCUUUGCUUUACUCUCCUUUUGUUGUCCCUCCACUCAAAGCUAUCUAUAAGUUCACAUAUUAUCAUCAGAAGGCCAAAAAUUGUCUCAAGAAUCAACAAUAGCUAAUCUUCAGCAGUUGCGAUGGCCAUGAGUACUGUCAAUAUGUCACUGCCUUUCGUCGUUGCGGCUGGAGCUGGGAUUUACUUCCUUGACAGAAAUCAUUACAAACAAAAGGAAACCCGAGGUGGGAUUCGAGCAUCUAUUGAAAAUUUCAUGACACAAGCCAAGGUGGAGGUGAGCAACACACAGAUGCCGAAGUUGGCACCUCAAUUUGAUGGGUUGGACUCUUUUGAAACCUUGGUUGGUCGUUAGUUCCCAAGGAAUACAUGCCUUAUUUCCAGUCUGUAUAUAGUUCAUGAAGGGCAUAUAUAUUAUCUCCUCAGUUUUCAGCAUUUUCGAUUCCCUGCCACACUCGAAAUGAAAAGAAGAAAUCAAGAGGAAUUUCUUUCCUUGUUGCCA